UACGUAGGGGGCGAGCGUUGUCCGGAUUAUUGGGCGUAAAGGGCUCGUAGGCGGUUCGAUAAGUCAGGUGUAAAAACUCCAGGCUCAACUUGGAGAGGCCACCUGAUACUGUCGUGACUAGAGUCCGGUAGAGGAGCACGGAAUUCCUGGUGUAGCGGUGAAAUGCGCAGAUAUCAGGAGGAACACCAGCGGCGAAGGCGGUGCUCUGGGCCGGAACUGACGCUGAGGAGCGAAAGCGUGGGGAGCAAACAGG
rnacentral:rRNA from 1 species